rnacentral:rRNA from 1 species
CCUACGGGUGACAGCAGUAGGGAAUCUUGCUCAAUGGGGGAAACCCUGAAGCAGCAACGCCGCGUGGAGGAUGAAGGUUUUCGGAUUGUAAACUCCUUUUGUUAGAGAAGAUAAUGACGGUAUCUAACGAAUAAGCACCGGCUAACUCCGUGACAGCAGCCGCGGUAAUACGGAGGGUGCAAGCGUUCCGCGGGAUCACUGGGCGUAAAGCGCGCGUAGGCGGGUUAACAAGUCGGAUGUGAAAUCCUAUGGCUUAACCAUAGCACGGCAUUUGAAACUGUUAGUCUAGAGUAUGGGAGGGGUAGGUGGAAUUCUUGGUGUAGGGGUAAAAUCCGUAGAGAUCAAGAGGAAUACUCAUUGCGAAGGCGACCUGCUAGAACAUAACUGACGCUGAUGCGCGAAAGCGUGGGGAGCAAACGGGAUUAGAUACCCUUGUAGUC